rnacentral:rRNA from 1 species
AUGAACGCUGGCGGCGUGCUUAACACAUGCAAGUCGAACGAAGCACUUUAUUUGAUUUCCUUCGGGACUGAUUAUUUUGUGACUGAGCGGCGGACGGGUGAGUAACGCGUGGGUAACCUGCCUUGUACAGGGGGAUAACAGUUGGAAACGGCUGCUAAUACCGCAUAAGCGCACAGCAUCGCAUGAUGCAGUGUGAAAAACUCCGGUGGUAUAAGAUGGACCCGCGUUGGAUUAGCUAGUUGGUGAGGUAACGGCCCACCAAGGCGACGAUCCAUAGCCGACCUGAGAGGGUGACCGGCCACAUUGGGACUGAGACACGGCCCAAACUCCUACGGGAGGCAGCAGUGGGGAAUAUUGCACAAUGGGCGAAAGCCUGAUGCAGCGACGCCGCGUGAGCGAAGAAGUAUUUCGGUAUGUAAAGCUCUAUCAGCAGGGAAGAUAAUGACGGUACCUGACUAAGAAGCACCGGCUAAAUACGUG